rnacentral:rRNA from 1 species
AGAGUUUGAUCCUGGCUCAGAACGAACGCUGGCGGCGUGCUUAACACAUGCAAGUCGAACGUGAUUGAGGGCUUGCUCUCAUGAAAGUGGCGCACGGGUGAGUAACACGUGGAUAAUCUGCCUGGUGAUUCGGGAUAACACUUCGAAAGGGGUGCUAAUACCGGAUAAGCCCACGGGGACUUUGGUCUUUGCGGGAAAAGGGGGGGACCUUUUGGCCUUCUGUCGUCAGAUGAGUCUGCGUACCAUUAGCUAGUUGGUAGGGUAAAGGCCUACCAAGGCUACGAUGGUUAGCUGGUCUGAGAGGGUGAUCGGCCACAUUGGAACUGAGACACGGUCCAGACUCCUACGGGAGGCAGCAGUGGGGAAUAUUGCACAAUGGGCGAAAGCCUGAUGCAGCAACGCCGCGUGAGUGAUGAAGGCCUUCGGGUCGUAAAGCUCUUUGAUCAGAGACGAUAAUGACGGUACCUGAAAAACAAGCCACGGCUAACUACGUGCCAGCAGCCGCGGUAAUACGUAGGUGGCAAGCGUUGUCCGGAUUUAUUGGGCGUAAAGGGCGCGUAGGCGGUUUUGUCGGUCAGAUGUGAAAGCCCAGGGCUCAACCCUGGACGUGCAUUUGAAACAGCAAGACUUGAGUACGGGAGAGGAAAGCGGAAUUUCUGGUGUAGAGGUGAAAUUCGUAGAUAUCAGGAGGAACACCGAUGGCGAAGGCAGCUUUCUGGACCGAUACUGACGCUGAGGCGCGAAGGCGUGGGUAGCGAACAGGAUUAGAUACCCUGGUAGUCC